rnacentral:rRNA from 1 species
CAUGGAGGGUGAGAAUCCCGUUCAUGGUUAAUCCUAAGGAAGCUCUACGAUACGUUUUCCAAGAGUCGAGUUGUUUGGGAUUGCAGCUCAAAAUGGGAGGUAAAUUUCUCCUAAGGCUAAAUAUUGGCGAGAGACCGAUAGCGAACAAGUACCGUGAGGGAAAGAUGAAAAGAACUUUGAAAAGAGAGUUAAACAGUACGUGAAAUUGUUGAAAGGGAAACGAUUGAAGUCAGUCAUACCAACGGGAAAUCAACCUUUUGAGCUCGGUCUCGUGGGUUUUGAAGAGUUUCAAAGCCUUCGGAUUCGCGGGAUUGGGAUCUCUUGGUGUACUUUUUCGUACGGUUAGUCAACAUCGGUUUUGAAUGUCAUAAAAUGACUGGAGGAAUGUAGCUUCGAUCUCGUAUUGAAGUGUUAUAGCCUUUGGUAGAUGUGAUGUUUGAGACCGAGGAUUGCAACGGAUACCCUUCAGGGCUAUUCGUCUGAUCUCUGAUACGUUGCCUUGAUGUUGAAAGCUUGCUUAUGAUGUUAGGAUAUUACGGUCAAAAGGUUAGAACGAAUUACAUUCGUUAAGGAUGUUGACGUAAUGG